UUGCAGCCAUAUCACGUUGAAACACCGGUUUCCGUACAAUCACCGAAGUUAAGCAACGUCGAUCCUGGUCAAUACCUAGGUGGCUAACCGCUUGGGAAUACCAGGUGCUGUAAG
rnacentral:rRNA from 1 species